ensembl:lncRNA
CCCCCGCACACGCCGCAAGGCCGACCCAAACCCCCCGGGCGCCCACCGGGCCCCCACGCGGGGCGCCGCCGACCGGUCCCGAAGGCGCGCACCAUGGGGACGCGGACACCGGGCCAACCAGUGUGGCCGGCGGCGACGCCCCCAGAAGGCGGAGCCGGGUUCGGGCCCAGACGGGGCGGCCAACAGCAUAAAAGCCGGUGAGCCGCUCGGGGAAGAGAGGAUCGGCAGGCAGCGGGCAGGGAAAAGGGGCACAAGGCAGGCAAGGAGCCAGGGGGCCACGGGGACAAGGGCACGGGGAACCCGCAGAGGGCUAAACUCGGGCAAGCAACCUCAGGCACGGCCGGGCCACCAGGAAAACACGGCCACGGGAUCCCACCGCCACAGACACGAGGGCGGUCCCGCAGCGCCCCGCCUGGGACGCCGAACGGCCCUUGGGCAGCCCACCGAUCAACCCCCUCGCGAGCCCCGGGUCCCGCCACCAGGGGGGCCCCGAAGCAACCUCAGCCACAAGCCCAACACCAGGGGCCACAUGUCGCCCGUUUCUCGUCCGUCCCGGACCCGGUCCCGCUCCGGGAGACCGGCGCGCCACCCCGUGGGGACGGCUCGCUCCCCAAGGACCAGGCGGCCCCACACCCCGCGCCACGCGAACGCGGUCAUCGGCACCGGUCGCGGCUCGGCACAGGAGCGGGCGGAGAGCCGGCUCACAGCGGAGAGCGGCGUCGCGCGCCGGACAGAGUGCCACGCGCACCCGCCGCUCGCGGCAGCCUUCCCAUCCGCUAGGACGUCGGGCCCGGCCCACCGGGAUCCUCCCCCAACUCGGGAGGGGGAGGCGCGGGCCACAGUAGACGACGAGCCGUGCGCUCGGCCCCCACCGCGGGGUCCGGCGGAACCCUCACUGUUCCCCCACCUCAUCCCAUCGAGGAGGGGGCAGCGGAGGAGGGUUCUCUGCAAGCGAGUCGCUACGGCAGCGCUACCGCAACACAGAGAGAGGCGGCAGGCCGGGGGAUCCGGUACCCCAAGGCACGCCUCUCGGAUCGCUAGAGAAGGCUUUCUCACCGAGGGUGGGUCACGCUCCCCACCCGCCAGUCGCCCCUCGUCGGGCCCGCAGAGGCGCUCAGGGACGCCUGGGGAAGGGAGGGGGCCUGCGGCGCGAGGAGAAGACACCUGCGGCAACCUUGAGCGUUUGCGGUCAGGGCAGGGGCCCGGCUGGCGCGCGUGCGCGCAGCCCCCAAGGCCCCCCGCCGUCCACCCACCUCCUUUCUGUGAGGCAAAGCACCUCCAGUUAACCCACACACGACCGAUCGGAGGCAGAACGGCAGCCCCUCGGCGGCCGGCCGGCGCACGCGUGGCCGGCCCGAGCCCACCGCAACCGCUCACACGGCCCGCGCUCACCCGCCAGAGGGGAGCACGGGACGUGCACUCGCCAGACCAGGCGGCGCCCUUCCCCGCGUGGGAGGGGCGCGUCUCACUGAACCGCCUCGACCCGCACAGCCGACGAGCUCCCUCAGGACCCACACGCGGACACCGUGGCGGCGACCGGAGGAGGGGGCGCUGGGGGCGGGAGCAACACGCCACCGCUCGGCCUCGGGCACCUGAGCGACAACCCGGAGCGCUCCAGGAGCACCGCAAAGGCCCAGGCGGAACCAGCGCUCGUGCAAUACCCGAGAGGGCAGCACGACGGGCCAGCGGGACAGCACCCCCACCGCCGCGGAGGGGGGCGGCCCACGAGGUGACGGCCACAAGAGGCGAAAGCGAGGGGUGCCUGCUGCGUCAGAGGACCCCCGCCGACCCCCGCCGGACGCCACGAGGCGGACGGCAGGGUCGGGACGGCGAGGUCGGGCCGGGUUCCGCACCCCAGUGCCUCCCAACGCACCGCCCACAGGCGGGGAUGGGAGACGGCGGGGCCCCCGCGGGCGGGACGAGAAGAACGGGUCCCAUUCACCAUGAAUGCCCGCCCCUCGCCCGUCGCGGCUCGGUCCCGGCCCGGGAGAGCAUGACAUCACCACAUCGAUCAGGGAAAGCAUCCCCGGAGCGGGGUCGGCCAGUCAGCCACAGCCUCCCCAGAGGCCAGCGAGCAGAUCAGCCUGGCCAUCCCCAGCUCCAGGGGAGGGGCGGCAGACAACCCGGCAGACACGAGGAACGCCUGACACGCACGGCACGGAGCCAGCGGGGGUGGGGUUGUCACAGCCGCCCCAGGUGCCCGCAGCGGGGAGCGCACGGCGGCGGGGUAAGCCGGCGCCGCCUUCCCCGCCGCCCCCAGGUGGGUCAGAGACCCGGACCCAAGGCGGCACCGGGAGCCAGGACGCUCGGAUGCAUGAGAGACCAGGCACACACGGGCCCCAGCAGGCGGCUCAGGCACGAGCAGGGCCGACUAGCCGGGUCACCGGGAGGCCG